rnacentral:piRNA from 1 species
AGAGAGAGGAUACUUGGGUUUUAGUC